CCUGGCUCAGAUUGAACGCUGGCGGAAUGCUUUACACAUGCAAGUCGAACGGCAGCACGGGGGCAACCCUGGUGGCGAGUGGCGAACGGGUGAGUAACACAUCGGAACGUGCCCAAUCGUGGGGGAUAACGUAGCGAAAGCUACGCUAAUACCGCAUACGAUCUACGGAUGAAAGCGGGGGAUCGCAAGACCUCGCGCGAAUGGAGCGGCCGAUGGCAGAUUAGGUAGUUGGUGGGGUAAAGGCUCACCAAGCCAACGAUCUGUAGCUGGUCUGAGAGGACGACCAGCCACACUGGGACUGAGACACGGCCCAGACUCCUACGGGAGGCAGCAGUGGGGAAUUUUGGACAAUGGGCGCAAGCCUGAUCCAGCCAUUCCGCGUGCAGGAUGAAGGCCCUCGGGUUGUAA
rnacentral:rRNA from 1 species